CUACGGGCCGCAGCAGUGGGGAAUAUUGCACAAUGGAGGAAACUCUGAUGCAGCAACGCCGCGUGGAGGAUGACACUUUUCGGAGCGUAAACUCCUUUUAUAUAGGAAGAAGAUGACGGUACUAUAUGAAUAAGCGCCGGCUAACUCCGUGCCAGCAGCCGCGGUAAUACGGAGGGCGCAAGCGUUACUCGGAAUCACUGGGCAUAAAGAGCGUGUAGGCGGAUUAAAAAGUCAGAAGUGAAAUCCUAUAGCUUAACUAUAGAACUGCUUCUGAAACUCUUAAUCUAGAAUAUGGGAGAGGUAGAUGGAAUUUCUGGUGUAGGGGUAAAAUCCGUAGAGAUCAGAAGGAAUACCGAUUGCGAAGGCGAUCUACUAGAACAUUAUUGACGCUGAGACGCGAAAGCGUGGGGAGCAAACAGGAUAGAUACCCUUGUAGUC
rnacentral:rRNA from 1 species